rnacentral:rRNA from 1 species
CGGUUUUUUAAGUCAGAUGUUAAAGCUCACGGCUCAACCGUGGGAUGCAUUUGAAACUGAGAGACUUGAGUCAAGGAGAGGAAAGUGGAAUUCCUAGUGUAGCGGUGAAAUGCGUAGAUAUUAGGAGGAAUACCAGUGGCGAAGGCGACUUUCUGGACUUGUACUGACGCUGAGAAACGAAAGCAUGGGUAGCAAACAGGAUUAGAUACCCUGGUAGUCCAUGCCGUAAACGAUGAGUGCUAGGUGUCGGGGGUCAAACCUCGGUGCCGGAGCUAACGCAUUAAGCACUCCGCCUGGGGAGUACGUACGCAAGUAUGAAACUCAAAGGAAUUGACGGGGACCCGCACAAGCAGCGGAGCAUGUGGUUUAAUUCGAAGCAACGCGAAGAACCUUACCAGGACUUGACAUAUAUAUGACCGGUAUAGAGAUAUACCUUUUCUUCGGAACAUAUAUACAGGUGGUGCAUGGUUGUCGUCAGCUCGUGUCGUGAGAUGUUGGGUUAAGUCCCGUAACGAGCGCAACCCUUAUUUUUAGUUGCCAUCAAGUAAUGUUGGGCACUCUAGAGAGACUGCCGAUGAUAAAUCGGAGGAAGGUGGGGAUGACGUCAAAUCAUCAUGCCCUUUAUGUCCUGGGCUACACACGUGCUACAAUGGCUAGAACAAAGAGCAGCUACAUCGCGAGGUGAUGCUAAUCUCAUAAAUCUAGUCCCAGUUCGGAUUGUUCUCUGCAAUUCGAGAACAUGAAGCCGGAGUUGCUAG